UCCUCUGUAGGACUGUCCCGUGGGAUGCUGCAGCGUCUCCAGCGGAGCGUCAAGGAGAGGCAGCCAGGAGCAUGGUAUCAUGGGCUCGUGUCCAUGUCCAGCACUGAGGCUAGCAGAGAAGCAAAAGCACUAACAAGCAAACCCCUGUGUGUUGUGCCACCCCCCUCCUAUGACCAUGUCCCCAGCCCCACUGUGAUGUGGCCUGACAUCACCAGGGCCUGUGCCAGCGGCACAAUAUGGGAAGGGACUGGGAUUUGACCUUCCUCAGCAUGUGGCCAUGGAGUCCUGGGAUCUCUCCUAUCGAAUGUUGACUCGUCUCCAGUGGAGUGCUGGAAGAAGGCUGUAGCCAUGGUUUGCUCUGUCGUUUUCCAGGAUUCUAUCUGUAAUAAUAAAUAAUAAAAAAAACCCA
rnacentral:lncRNA from 1 species